GUUGAACGCUGGCGGCAUGCUUUACACAUGCAAGUCGAACGGCAGCACGGGUGCUUGCACCUGGUGGCGAGUGGCGGACGGGUGAGUAAUGCAUCGGAACGUGUCCUGAAGUGGGGGAUAACGCAUCGAAAGAUGUGCUAAUACCGCAUAUUCUCUGAGGAGGAAAGUAGGGGAUCGAAAGACCUUAUGCUUUUGGAGCGGCCGAUGUCUGAUUAGCUAGUUGGUAGGGUAAUGGCUUACCAAGGCGACGAUCAGUAGUUGGUCUGAGAGGACGACCAGCCACACUGGGACUGAGACACGGCCCAGACUCCUACGGGAGGCAGCAGUGGGGAAUUUUGGACAAUGGGCGCAAGCCUGAUCCAGCAAUGCCGCGUGAGUGAAGAAGGCCUCGGUUGUAAGCUCUUUCAGUUUGAGAAGAAAAGUACGUAGACUAAUAAUACAUGA
rnacentral:rRNA from 1 species